UUUGGGACUUAUGUAGUACUCUUUGGUAACUAGGAAAAAAUUCAAAGGAUAUUUUGCUAUUUAAAAAGUUUCUUAUUAGCAAAUAUUGGAGCUUCGUCAUGGAGGUCUCCAUUAAAAGCAAAAUAACUUAAAUGGGAUCUGCCCGCAGGAAAUUUUGAUUUCGAUCAUCAUUGCGUAGAGAAGAAACAGCGGAUUCCUCUAUUUUAAUGAGCUGACCUACACGUCAUCGCUUUGUUCUCUCUGAAGCCUCCUCAAAAUCAAGUUUAGGACGGCCCCGAUGAGCACUUUUCUCUAUUUGAUUUGAUUUGCAAUAGGGGCGUUUUAUGGAAAUUGAUUAUUUUUUACUAAGCCAUCCAGAUUGAUAUUUAGUAACUGCAGAUUUUUUCCGUUUUCCUAAAGUUACAAUUGUUUUGCAGAGGCUCUCAAUUUUAUUGGAUACUUCGCUCAACUCUGGAAUAAUGUAGCCGUUGUUUUCAAUAUCCGCUUGCACAUCGGAAAUCAAUUUCUUCAUUUUUUCGGCGUUGGUUCCAUUACACAAACACAUUUUUGCGAUACACCUAUCAAAAUCCAAAAUCAAAGUUUAAAUAAUAAUUUACAAAUUGAUAUUUUUGCAAAAACACAAAGCACUAAAGACGAAGACAAAGCAACAGCGCAAAAGCGCAACAGCACAAUAAGCAAAGACUCACCUUUAACUGCUUUAGUAAUCUAAGUAGUAAACACACAUCUGCAAGUUUCUGCAGCUAAUUUUAAAAUAUUUAGCAACCUAAAAUAAGACGAUCAUAAAAACAUACAUACCAAGUUCUGGGUUUUCUUGGAACAUAACUAAAAGGUUAACUAAACAUAAAAUAUACUUUCAAAAAAUACACAAAAAAGGGUUAUUCGAUAAAAUUAGUUUUACGAAAAAACAUUUUCAGGAAAGUUAAUUAUUAAUAUCUCAAUUUUAAGUAAAUACCUUCAAUUUCAUAAUUCAUGUUAAAUUAUUCAAAUCGGAGCACUGCAGCGUACGUCUAAUCACUUUAAAGGGCGAAUUGAAAGAGAGAAAUAACUUCCAAAGCGCAGCUGCGUUGCCAAAAUGAACACGUGUUCACGAUUGCAAAUCUAUUUUUAGAAAGUACCGUUAGAUUUUCAGUAAAAUCCGGUAUGCCAUAGAGAAGUUUAGACAAUUUCGAUACAUUUUGAUAUAAAAAAUCUGUCAUCACAUUUUUUGAUUUUUGGCCUCUGACGGAACCACUAUGCACGGGUCGGCCUUCUUGAUGCGAAAAAUGCUGAAUAAACUGGUGACAUGCUCAAUAAGAAUUAAUACUUUCUUAUCGUAACGCUCUUGUAACUGAUUUAGAGCCUCUGGCAUCUGAAACUUGAAAGGCUGACACAACGCUUAACGCUGGACCAAAAGCUUUCUGGAAGUCCUCUGCGUCCAACGAAAUGUUUUAAACAUAUGUCAGAUACAAGUUCAACGUGAACUGCUUUGGUCGCAAAGCAGAUAAAUACGGCCAUGUAAGUUUUAUAUGGAACCUUUCAACGAAUCCGAUAGGAGGUAGGAUGGUUUACAUAGAUGUACAAAUGAGAUGGCAAACCGCUUGGUUAGAAUCAGCCUUUCCGCUGGUUGGGAUCCCAUAAUUUGUUGCAUUAGCCUGGGUUUGUAAUGGCAACAAUGAAAACAUUUUAUGGCCACGUUGGAGGUGGUGCGACGAGAGUUUGCGAUCCAUAUUUGAAGUCUUAGUAAUCCAAUUAGCGAUUUGCGGCGUGCAUGCAUAUUGACUUUGCAAAGAUGUUCAAGGUAAACAAAUGAUCACUAGGAAGAAGCAAUCGGAAUCUCGCAUAGACAAGGAUUGGGGCGUUUGCUAGACGUCCGCCAACUCGAAUAAUUUGUAAAGAUCGAUUGCCAAUAUCAGCUUCAGCUACGAACGAAAUCAAUUUUCUAAGAUUUGGACUAAGACGAUUUCCCUUUUGUAUGUCAAUUAAAUCCGUUGCGAAACUUUGGCUAUGAAUUGUGGAGAGGAUGAUAAAUGUCUUCCGAAUUUCAUUGGCAUCAAGUUCGUUUGGCUGUGGGGCACAAGGCACUUUGCUGGAAGGAACGCCGUUGAAAGUCUGACCGAAAAGUAACCUCGCACUCUAUACUAAAUAAGAAAUUUACGAACCUUGGAAUUUCAAUUUGGCUUAAAAUGUGUACAUCCGGCUCGAUUUGCCGCCAUCUUUCUUGCAGCGCAUCAGGCAGCGGCUCCACUCAAGACUCUUUCUCCAAAGUUCUUGUACAACAAUUUGUACCUGAUAAUGUUUGGACUUAGGAGUCCAAGUAUGUCGUACAAUCUUGCAAUGACAGAAAUAACUUGCCUCUUGGAGGAAGCUUCGGAUUUUGGCAGAUCAAAGCGGAAACAAAAUAUAUUCGUUUGCGGUUUCCAUGACAUUCCCAAGGCCUUUGUCACUUCUUUACCAUCCAAAUCACUCUUACCACUAAAGUUUCAUUUUGACAACUUCAAACCUGCUCGCUGAAAAAUGUUCUCGGUCUGAAGCAUUUUCACUUGCAAGUCCUCUAAGCUGUCGGCUUCUGUGAGAAAGUCAUCCACAUACAUAUCAUUCUGUAAAGUAUGAGAUCCUAUUGGGAAUUCGUUUUCGUAUCUCUUGGCGAUGAAGUUAAGACUUUAAAUCGCUAAAAAUGGGGCACUUGCCAGGCCAUAAGUUACUGUGUUUAAUCGAAAUAACUGUAGCUGGAAUGAGCUGGAAAUUACGGUCUUUAGAAUCGAUCUGAAUUGCCGAUACAUUUUAGUUAUGUCGGCUGAUGAAAACAAACUUUUGUAGUCUGAAUGCCAGCAGAGUUAGAAUCAGAUUUUGUUGGAUGCCAUUCAGAGACAAAUUUACAUUUUCUUUUGUUCAGGUAGGCGUCUUAAUCGCCGUUUAAGCUGAAGGAAACGCCGUCUGGAAGUUUCCAAUGAACUUCCGACACUAGUUGGGGAUUGCGCAAAUGGCAAGCGGACUUGAAUUCGACCAAAGUCAAGAAUAACAGCGUGCUUAAAGAAAUGUUGAAUGCACUCUUCUUCUUCAAGCGUAAACCUAUUUUUUUACCUAGUCUCCUCAAAUGAUUCGAUUUUUCAAAACCGUGCUAGGGCAUCGUUAAGAUCCUGGGUCUUAAAAAUAUCAAUCUUGUGAGGCUUCAGGGAUCGACCAUUGCGAUGUAUCUAUACACUGCUCUGGCUGCUGCUUUAGAUUUGGUGAUUGAAAAUUGCAGCGUCCACUCAUCAGCUGAUAAACGAACUGAAUUAUUGCUUCUAAAGAAAACUUUACAUGCUCUCGAAAGUUCUCAAUUCCCGAUAUCUCAAAAUUCUAUCGCUUAAAUGGUAUCUGAAGGGUCUUCGCUAGAGUUUAUGUCAUAAAAUUGACUUCCUCUACCUCCAUCUCUAGGUUUGUCCACUAGUAUUCCCAUUUUUUCGCGAAAUUCCUGAAUGUGUUUCUUCCUGUUCAAUACUUGCAUCUUCUUUUCUUCAUCGCGUAUUUGCCACAUUUUGACCUUUACCUUAUAUGAAAUAUGUAAAAAGUAUUCAAAGAAGCGUAUAUAAGAAUGUAGUGGAGAUAAGCCAAAUUCGUAAAAUCUUGGGCGAACUUCUUUACUCAAACAUUUUUGUAUAUUGUUCAGUUCUGUUGUCAAAAUAUUCUGCUUCGUCUUUCGACACUUUCGCGGUCUCUUUCUUAAAUUGAAAUCUUAUUGGUCGACAGUAACGAGUCGAUGAUGGCCGGGGGUUUUUUCAAAUUAUUGUAUUAUCUAUUUGAGUAAGUUGGAGAGGUACGUAGGAUGUUACAAGUAAGCUUCUGUCGUCCAAAUCACCGUUUGAAAACUUUUGCUUAUACUCGCUAUGCCCUGUACUUCCAUCGAAGUUCCAUAACCAAUUAAACUAUAUUUUCAAACAUAGUUUCAAUGAUGUUAUUUUGAAGCUCUAUUUUACUAGAUGCCGUAUUGUCUAGUAAGCUUUAUAGUUCGACUUUCGCUCGAGAUUCGUCUAUAUAAAUACCAUAAGGGUAUCUUAUUUUUUUAAGACUUAUGUAGUACUCUUUGGUAACUGGGAAAAAAUUCAAAGGAUAUUUUGCUAUUUAAAAAAUUUCUUAUUAGCAAAUAUUGGAGCUUCGUCAUGGAGGUCUCCAUUAAAAGCAAAAUAACUUCCAUGGGAUCUGCCGGGAGGAAAUUUUGAUUUCGAUCAUCAUUGCGUAGAGAAGGAACAGCGGAUUCCUCUAUUUUAAUGAGCUGACCUACACGUCGUCGCUUUGUUCUCUCUAAAGCCUCCUCAAAAUCAAGUUUAAGUUUUUGAUUUGAUUUGCAAUAGGGGCGUUUUAUGGAAAUUGAUUCUUUUUUACUAAGCCAUCCAGAUUGAUAUUUAGUAACUGCAGAUUUUUUCCGUUUUCCAAAAGUUACAAUUGUUUUGCAGAGGUUCUCAAUUUUAUUGGAUACUUCGCUCAACUCUGGAAUAAUGUAGACAUUGUUUUCAAUAUCCGCUUGCACAUCGGAAAUCAAUUUCUUCAUUUUUUCGGCGUUGGUUCCAUUACACAAACACAUUUUUGCGAUACA